CCCCGAAAGCUAUUUAGGUAGCGCCUCGUGAACUCAUCUUCGGGGGUAGAGCACUGUUUCGACUAGGGGUCAUCCCGACUUACCAACUCGAUGCAAACUGCGAAUACCGAAGAAUGUUAUCACGGGAGACACACGGCGGGUGCUAACGUCCGUCGUGAAGAGGGAAACAACCCAGACCGCCAGCUAAGGUCCCAAAGUCAUGGUUAAGUGGGAAACGAAGUG
rnacentral:rRNA from 1 species